GGGCCCUGCAAAUCCUGAAGGAUAUAUUCCAUGAUGGAUUGAAUCAUGCAAAGAGAUGGACGGUGCCAAUUUACACGGGUUAAUCCUCUACAGCAACUAUAAAUAGAGACUCAAGAACUUCUGCAUCUAUCCUUCCAUUGGAGGACAGGUUAAGAGAGUUUGAGAGAGGAAGGUUGGUCAAGAUAAAGAGAGUUGUUUGGUAGCCAAGGAUGACUUGCCUACAGCCUCCUUAAGGUUUCAAAAUACCGAGCUUGUCUACCUUUGAUCAAAUGAUUCAAGAACCAAAAGAAAAGAAAGGCCAUGGCAGCCAUCCAUCAGAGUCAACAUGAGAAUCAUGUUCUAUAGAAAUUGGAGUCAUUCUUGAGAAUGAACACGACACUAUUAGCUUGGAAUCUAUAAUGUUGUUUAUGGCAAGUCUCCUUGGCACCUGAUGGCCUCUUAUCACUCAUGUGGAGCCUACUCUUCCUCCUUCUGUAGCCAGGACAAGGGUUCGAGAUCAACUCCCAAAAGAGAUGCACAACAGAGGUAUGCGAGCUUGCCUAAAUGAGGCUACGAGUAAGGAUAACUAUGAGGCAAUGACUACAAUCACUUUAAGCAGAAGAAAUAAUGAAGAAAUAAGCAUACAAUUCUACACUUUAUCCGAAGUGAAUGAAACAUGAUAUAGAAGAGGAUAAGCUAUAUUUCAAAAAGGAUACAGCUCUCCAAAAGAAAAAGUUGUCUCCAGCUUGAUUCUCCGUUCGACUGGAUCUUACAGAGAAUGUCUAUGGGCCUGUUUUUUGGAGCCAAACUACAUAUCAGGCCUUUUCUUCAUCAAGAAUUUAAAGACGUAGUAACCCUCAGCAUUCAGCAAUCAGCAAUCAGCAGAAACAGAUAUCCAGUUUUCUCAUAAAAAGAAAGGAUCAGCUCCUUCAGAAGGGAUACAGCUACCCAAAAGCAACAGGAUGAAAUUUGGGAAUUUUGAUCAUUUAUCUUCUUAUGAGGUACCCAACAAGUAACUAAUAGGCAAUUGCUAUUAGAGAAUUAUAUGCAGAGCCAGCUCCCGAGUAGUUUCAACUUCAAUACCUCUUGAUUCUCCAGCAGAUUAGAUUUAUAUAGAGAACAUUGAUGGGCAUGUAUUGUCAACUGAAACCACAUACCAACCCUUUUCUUUGCAACUACUCGAUGACAAUUAAGUUUUCAAGGUCUCCCUAAAUGCGGCAGGUGCAAGAUGAUGAUGGCAUUUUCAAAUAAUGAUGAAACAGAAACUCUCAGGUAGCUUCAUCUUCACUAACAAUGACUUCAUCACAGUUGGGAAACAUGAUUUCAUAUUGGGUUACCAACUUUCCCACUAAUGACAGUAAUUUAUCAUACCUAAUAAUAGGGCACUAAUCUUAAAUAUAGUUGCUUAUUUUGGGAUUUCUGGACCCUUUUUUCCUUUAACAUACACGACAUUUUGGGAAGAGCACAGGAUCUUUCCUGAAGUGGUUAACUCUA